rnacentral:rRNA from 1 species
UCACCGAAAUGCAUGCAUCCCGACAACUAGCAAUCAUCGUUUACGGCGUGGACUACCAGGVUAUCUAAUCCUGUUUGCUCCCACGCUUUCGAGCCUCAGCGUCAGUAAUGAGCCAGUAUGUCGCCUUCGCCACUGGUGUUCUUCCGAAUAUCUACGAAUUUCACCUCUACACUCGGAGUUCCACAUACCUCUCUCAUACUCAAGACACCCAGUAUCAAAGGCAAUUCCGAGGUUGAGCCCCGGGAUUUCACCCCUGACUUAAAUGUCCGCCUACGCUCCCUUUACGCCCAGUAAUUCCGAGCAACGCUAGCCCCCUUCGUAUUACCGCGGCUGCUGGCACGAAGUUAGCCGGGGCUUCUUCUGUAGGUACCGUCAUUAUCGUCCCUACUGAAAGAAUUUUACAAUCCUAAGACCUUCAUCAUUCACGCGGCAUGGCUGCGUCAGGCUUUCGCCCAUUGCGCAAGAUUCCCCACUGCUGCCUCCCGUAGAGUUUGGGCCGUGUCUCAGUCCCAAUGUGGCUGAUCAUCCUCUCAGACCAGCUACUGAUCGUCGCCUUGGUGAGCCUUUACCUCACCAACUAGCUAAUCAGACGCGGGCCGCUCUAAAGGCGAUAAAUCUUUCCCCCGAAGCACAUUCGGUAUUAGCACAAGUUUCCCUGAGUUAUUCCGAACCUAAAGGCACGUUCCCACGDGUUACUCACCCGUCCGCMACUAACUCCGAAGAGUUCGUUCGACUUGCAUGUGUUAGGCCUGCCGCCAGCGUUCGCUCUGAGCCAGGAUCAAA